rnacentral:rRNA from 1 species
UACGUAGGAUCCAAGCGUUAUCCGGAAUUACUGGGCGUAAAGCGUACGUAGGUGGAGAUUUAAGUGAGAUGCGAAAUCUGGCGGCUCAACCGUCUAGACUGUGUCUCAUACUGGGUUUCUUGAGGUUGGCAGAGGCAAGUGGAAUUUCCGGUGUAGCAGUGAAAUGCGUAGAGAUCGGAAGGAACACCAAUGGCGAAGGCAGCUUGCUGGGCCACACCUGACACUGAGGUACGAAAAGCGUGGGGGAGCGAACAGG